GAUAAUCCAAAACAAAAGAAUGAAGUCCUCAAAAUCAUUCAGAUCUCAUGAUAGAAAUGAUAUGAUCUCAUGACAGGAAAACUAACUUGGUGGAAGAUAUGGGUGCAACGAGGCAUUAACCCCAUAAAAGUGGAGCAAUGGUGGUCACUCCAAGGUUGCCACAAUCCCAUAAAAGAAUCAGACAACCAAACUUGGUAGAUGUCAUUAGCAGAUGAUGACAGGGGGUUCAACGAGAUAGUCACGUGACAUGCGUGGCAAUCGAUAACAUCACAAGUAGUUGUAAGGCUUUAUAUGGAAAUCAUAGAACGAAAAUAAGCAAUUUGGGGGUAUGGAGUUCCUCAUUUGUAUAUUACAAAAACAUAAUCAUCCAGGAUCUACCAAAAAUAAGUCGCCAAAAAGGUCUUGGAGCUGCAAAAAAGAAGUCGCCGAAACAGUAUUGGAGCAACCAAAAAGAAGUCGCAAAAAAGGUCUUGGAGCAACGAAAAAGAAGUCGCCAAAACUGUCUUGAGCCAACCAAAAAGAAGUCGCUAAAAAAAGUCGCAAAAAAGGUCUUGGAGCAACCAAAAAGAAGUCGCCAAGAAGUUUGACCUCUCGUUAGACCACCUACAUGACGCCGACCAAGUUGUCGCCAAAAGAUGUUUCUAUCAUGAGAUAUAUAUGAAAUAUGAUUGUUUUGAUGUCAAAAUAUUUUAUUUUUUUAUGACGUCACCGAUGACAUUAUUCAUCACGUGACCAUCUCGGUGCAUCCUUGACACAUGCAUGACCAAGUUUGAAUGCCAUACGAUGACCUCAUUUGUAGACAUUCGGCACCACGCGUCACGAAAACUCGAGUGGAUGGAGAAUAAAUAUCAGCUAAAAAAUAAAACAUCAUUUUAUUAAUACUCAAAAUGUAUACAACUCAAUGAUUUUACGCUAAGUUUCUUGACAUAAAUUGAUGCAAUUACAAUGUUACAUUCAAUAUCAAAUGUUAAAGAGUUUACAUUUACAUAGAGAUUACACUGUUUUUAUAACUGCAAUUACAGGUGUUUAUUUUAAGGAUGAUUAGACCGUUGACCAAUUCGAAAUAUCGCUAGAGGGUCGUCCGAGAAACCCAAUGAAUCGCGCUCAAGAUAAAAAAAACCUUCGUAGAAAAAAACUAAAAGAAAAAUCGCCAAAACGAUAUCCAGGUGAAUACAAUAUGAUCGCAACGAACACUUGA